rnacentral:tRNA from 1 species
CAGGACGUGGCCGAGACAAACAGGCACCUCCCCUACACCGAGAUUACACCCAUGCAAGUUGGGUCGUCCUGA